rnacentral:SRP_RNA from 1 species
CUAUGCUAAGUGGGGAGGUAGCGGUGCCCUGAACCUGCAAACCGCUUUAGCAGGGCUGAAUCCUAUUGCGCGGCGGAUUGCUUUUGGGGUCUGCCCCAAGUAAGUGGUGUUGAAGAUUGGGUCCUGAGCAACUUGAACUUAUCAAACUCCGUCAGGUCUGGAAGGAAGCAGCGGUAGAUAGGUCUUCGAGUGUGACGCAGGGCAGCCUCAUCGGAGCUAACUGCUUGGGUAACGCUUGGGAGGAUCCGUCAACCUGUAGGUGCAUAG